rnacentral:lncRNA from 1 species
GCAGGUGGCGCAGAGAAAGUCAGCUCCAAGCUGCUUCCUGUCCAUUGUCCAGCUGUAGGAGAAGGGUCUUUCCUGCCCAAGGACAGUGGUCCUCUCUUCUAAAGAGCAAGGAGCUCUCUGAGGUGGAGGAGGCUUGUGAAGACUUCCCAGAACACUGCACCCACCUGACCAAGAGGUACUUUUUAAGGUCAUUCAAACUGUCAUCUACACAUGAAUAACAAUGAAAUUCUCAUAAAGAAGCAGAAAUACCCAGGAGGCAUGAAGAGUCAUCAUGCUUCAAAAGUACAUGUAUUAGGACUUCACGACCUCAGGAAAAGUAGACUCCGUAACUCUUAAAAGCUCAAUCUUGGAGAGGAGAAACAUGCUGUUUGAUGACAUAGCACAGAAACUUGUUGAAAUAUCCUUGGAGCUUGAGAUGUCGAGAGCGAGCCAUCAAAAUGUUCUCAAGAAUUAAAUUGAAAAAUGUUGCUUCAAAAUGUCUUAGCCAACCAAAUACAAACAUUUUUGUCAUUGUGACAAAAAAAAAGCUCACCAAUUGUCUUUGCUAGUCUCAGCACAGCCCAAGAGGAGCAUCCUUCAUGAGCCAACUGAAAAACAGUGUGUAGUCUAUGCUUCUGACCAGAUGGGCUUCUCUUGUCACCAUAACAUUAUGUAUUAGGACUUCAUGUAUUAUGUAUUAUGUCAACACUUUAUUCAUUAUGCUGAUCAUACUCUGUAUUUCACUUGCUCUGGUUAUUUGUAAAGCUUUUCCUAUUUCAUCAUUAAAUUAUCCUUGUAUUUUAGCAACUGCA